rnacentral:rRNA from 1 species
UACGUAGGGGCCGUAGCGUUGUCCGGAUUUAUUGGGCGUAAAGAGCUCGUAGGCGGUUUGGUGAGUCGGGUGUGAAAUCUCCACGCUCAACGUGGAGGGCCACCGAUACUGCCAUGACUAGAGUCCGGUAGGGAGUGUGGAAGUUCCGGUAGUAGCGGUGAAAUGCGCAGAAUAUCGGGAGGAACACCAGUAGCGAAGGCGACACUCUGGGCCGGU